GAAAAAAGAAGGAAAACAGGGGCAAGCAAUAAAGAAGAAGCAAAUUAUAAUCAUGGCUUCUAUAGCUGAUCGGGAAGAAGAGACAAAUAAUUUUUCAUAUGCAAUGGAACUGGCAAGUGCCAUAGUGCUACCUGCAGCUAUGCAAGCAGUGGUAGAGCUUGAUGUGUUUGAGAUCAUAAGCAAAGCCGGUCCUGGUGCUAAGCUUUCGGUUUCGGAAAUUGUGGCUCAAAUUCCCUUAAAAGAUAAUAAUCCUGAAGCUGCAGCCAUGAUGUUAGAUCGGGUGCUGAGGCUUACGUUAUUGACUUAAUUAACGAAUAGACCCUAGUGAAUAGGAAUAUCAAUUAAUUACAAAUGAAAAAAAUUUGCUGAGGAGUCCGAAUUUGAUGUACAUGAUAGCGAAGUCCACAUAACUCAAUUAAUUGUUUAAGUAACUGGGAGUUUUAUAAUUGGGAUAACGUGUAGUUUGAUAUUGUAAGUUACAAUCGUAAAAUAUUUAAUAAAUUUUUGAUGUUGUAAUUUAAACGUUAAGUUGAAUUUAUCACAUACUUAUAUGUAAAAAAAAACCUAUAAUAUAUUUUUGUCUUUUUUGUUAAAAUUAUUUGUUACAUAUUUUUUACUUUUAUUUCAUUUAUAUAUGUGUGUGUGUGUCAAAACACCUCAAUCUGAAACAUGGUCUUAAUUAAUAAAACAUUGUCAUUUUAUUAAUUAAUAAAACACCUCAAUACCUAGCAAGUAGCAAGCCACACAUGAUUUUAUUUUGUAUAUAAAAAUUUGACACUCUUUAAUAUUGUGUUUUUUCGUUUAUGUUUAUUAUGAGCUCGACUUUUUGUUUAUGAAAAUUUGACAUUCUGUAACUUUGGCGGGUUGGUAAGUGUAUAAUGAGCUACACUUAUUUAUUUAUUUGGAAAAAAGACACCUAUUUACAUUUGAGAAAAUAGUCAUAAAGACAUCUAAAUUUUUAAAAAGGGACUCCAAAUCUCCUUUUUAACUAUAAUAUCCUUUGAUUUAGUAAUUAAAAAGUUGACUUAAAUUUUUUUUAAUUAAUACAAAUUUAAUAUAAGUAAUAUAAUCUAUCUAGUACACUAAUAAUAUUAAAUUAUUUUUAACGUUUAAUAUAAUAUUAAAAAUUUAAAUUAUUACAUUUAUUUUAAUAAUACAUUUGCAUUUAUUAUAUAGAUUUUAAAAAUCUCUGUAUUAAAUAUAUUUUGCAAUUAACAGAAUAUAUCCCUAUUAAUAAUAUUAAUAUUAUUUUUUACAUAAUAUUUGAAAUAAUUUUAAUCUUUUAUUCUAAUAUUAUGUUUCUAUAUAUUAUUAAAAAUUACUUUAAUUAUAAUAUAAUUGGUCUAAUAUAUUGUAAAAUAUAAAAAUAUUUUAUAAAUAUUAAAAAUAUUUUCAAAUGUUGAUAUUAUUACAUUUAUUUUAAUGGCAUAUUUCUAUUUAUUAUAAAAUCUUAAGGUCAAUUAUUUUGGUUUUAUAAAGUCAAAAGGUAUUAUGAUAAAAAAGGGUUCUUGGUGUCCGUUAUUGAAAACUCGGGGUCCUUGUAAUCAUUUUCCAAAACCGUGGGGGUGUAGGUGUCCUUUUCCCUAUUUAUUUUUAUAAAAAUUAAGGUUUUUUUUUUUUUUUAAAGCAAGAAAUCUAAUGAAUUAAUUCUUCAAAGAGUGUGAGGAUCAAAAACUUACUCUAUGGUUAUUGCUAAAUAUGAAAUAAGAUAAUUGACAUAGUUGUUAUCUAGUAUUAUAUCGAUCCCAAAUUAAUAGGUUCAAACAAAUAUUUUGUUUCAGUUCAAGAAAUUUUACUAAUUAUAUAUGUUAAGAAUUACUAAUUUACAUGUUGUGUUAAGUUUUUGGACAGAGAAAACUAAGGUAGUAUAUGUUCUUUUAUCUAAAAUCUAGAUGGAUUUGAAUGUAAUUGAAGUCUGAAUGAAUCUGAAUGCAUAUGUCAGAAUAACAUGUUUGUUUUUUAUUUUUUGACAUCUAGUGUAACGGUAAAUUGUUAUCUAUUUUUAUAAACUCAAAAUAUUUUAAAUCCAAUAUUUUUAUACUUAUGAUCUUGAAAGUGUUAUAUAUACCUGAAAUUUUUAAUAGGUAUAUAUUUAUAAUGUUUUCUUAACUAAAUAAGUUCAUGCAAUUGAUUGUUAUUAUUAUUGAAUAACUGUUUUUAGGUUGCCUUUAUUAGUUUAACAACAAUGGUACUUCGUCAAGAGAAUGAGUUACCAUUAUUAUUAAUAGGUCGGCGGCGACCAUUUUUUUUUCAUUUUUAGCUCACUGAUAAUUGACAUGGAAUAACGAUGUUUUAGAUAUAUACGAUAUAUUUUAGAUAAUCACACGUAUUUGUAUAUUUUAAAAUACUUAUCAUAAUGUCAAAUAUUUUUAUAUUAUUAUAAAUUGUUGAAAAAUUAUUUUAGAACAAUAUAAAAAUAUCUGUAUACAUGGUAGUCAAACAACAAUUUGAGCAUUGCUAUUAUUUUCCGAAAAUGUAGCUAAGUUUUCUGAAUGAAGAGUGUCCCUUGGAUUCGGUUGGAUUUUAUGCCGCACGACAGAAUUGCUGUGGCCGGAGGGUAAUGUUGUCGCAGUGGGCAAACAAUAAUUGACAUUUCACAUUCGGCUAUUUAUGAUGUAGGCCCAACUAUGUGUGUCCAACUUUGGAGGCUAUUAGGUAUAUGAUAUAUCCAAUUAAUAAGCUCCGCUUAUUUAUUUAUUUUUAUAAAAAUUCAGAUUUUUUUCCCCUAAAAAUAUCCGAUCGAUUCAUUCUUCAAAGAGUGUGCUUACUGCUAAAUAUACAAGAUGAUAGUUGGCAGUUAUUGUCUAGUAAUAUGUAGAUCCCAGAUUGAAUUUGAUUUAAAAUCCAGGAGCAUCGUUCCCGCAAAUGUUUCAUUUUAAAUUUUCUUUGUUUAAUCCAAUGGCAAAUAAAUUUUUCUCGCAUCCGUAUUAAUGGUUCGAACAAAUAAUUUUGUUUUCAGUUCAAGAAAUUUUAUCAAUUUUGUUAAUAAUUAGUACUCACAUAAUUAUUUACUUAUUUUUUUUUAUUUCUUCAAUUCUUAUUGUUUGAAUUAGUUUACAUGAUGAGUAGUGCAAUGUGUCCAUAUAUUAUUUAUGAAUGGUAAUUUAUCACUAAUACAGUGACAUUUCAUCCCGGAGUGGCUGUCCUUGUUGAUAAAUUGAAAUUAGCGCAAACCUUGAGGACAGGCAUGAAAAAAUGAGAACACGAGCAUGAUUGGUGAUGAGAUAUAAUAUAGAUGAACCCCUGCCUUGACUGAUUCAAUACAAAGGGAGGAAAAAAGAAGGAAAACAGGAGCAACCAAUUAAGAAAGAAGCAAAUUUAUAAUCAUGGCUUCUACAGCAGAUCAUGAAGAAGAGACAAAUAAUUUUUCAUAUGCAAUGGAACUGGCAAGUGCCAUAGUGCUACCUGCAGCUAUGCAAGCAGCGGUAGAGCUUGAUGUGUUUGAGAUCAUAAGCAAAGCUGGUCCCGGUGCUAAGCUUUUGGUUUCGGAAAUUGUGGCUCAAAUUCCCUUAAAAGAUAAUAAUCCUGAAGCUGCAGCCAUGACGUUGGAUCGGGUGCUGAGGCUGCUUGUCAGCUACAAUGCUCUUCAUUGCUCUUUUGUUGAUGGACAAAGGCUCUACUCUCUUGCUCCUGUUUCAGCAUACUUUGUUCGCAAUAAUCAAAACGGCGCGUCGUUGCGUCCCUAUAUGGCCUGGUGUCUCGACAAGGUCCUCAUGGAUUGCUGGUAUAUAGAAUUACUUUAUCUCCUUUCUUUCCUUUGCUAAUUUUGAUAAAUUAAGGACAAUUAUCAAAACCUUCUAGUUGUAUAUAUCCAAAAAUUAAUCAUUUGCAUCACAUGUUUUGAACCCAUCAAAAUCCGUCAGCUACUAAAAAGACAGUUAUCUUCAAUUAUUUUACUUUUGUUGUGGUAAAAAACAAAAAAAGUUUAUAGUCCAAGUGUUUUUGAAAUAUGAAAGUAGAAAGGAUUGAUUGUAACAAAUAAUUAAUAAAGUAUUCUUUAUCUUGGUUAAUUAUGCCGUCUAAUUUUACAAACUAAGCUUCUAAAAUUGUUACUAACUGUGUUUGGAUUUUGGAAAAUUCAGGUUUCGGUUGAAAGAGCAAAUUCUUGAAGGAGGAAUUGCGUUUAAUAAAGUGCACGGAAUGCAUAAGUACGAUUACUUGGGCGUUGACUCAAGAUUCAAUGAUGCUUACAACAAUGGAAUGUUAAGCCACACUUCUGUUGUCAUGGAGAAGAUCCUAGAAUCAUACAAAGGCUUUGAGCAUGUUAAGCAGCUUGUUGAUGUUGGCGGCGGCUUAGGAGCUGCUCUUAACAUGAUAAUUUCCAAAUACCCUCAUAUUAAGGGUAUUAAUUAUGAUUUACCAUAUGUUAUUCAAAAUGCCCCAUUUUAUCCUGGUAUGUUACUUACAAAAUUUAUACAAUAUUUUCGUUAAUGAUUCAUUGAUGGGAUACACGAUAGCUAACAAAAAUUAUUAUUAUUAUUUUUAAAUUUCAGGCAUUGAACAUGUAGGUGGAGACUUGUUUGAAAGUGUUCCUGAGGCAGAUACCAUUUUCAUAAAGGUUAUAUGUGUGUAUUAUUUGAAAUCAUCGUUAUAAGGAAAAAUCGAUAUAGGGUGAAUCACUAUUUUCCCCCCUAAUAUUUUGUAGGUUUACUUUGACCCGUUACUCAUUUGGUAUUAGAACUUUGACAAAAACACUUAAGGAAAAGUCAAAAUAUGUUGAAAAGUGUUGGGGGGCAACUGUCUCUCUUUCUUUUUCUCUAGUUGUAAAGGAGUGGCCAAAGCCCAAAUUGAUUAUUUAAAAACCACUGGACUAGCUCCUGAUGCAAAGUGUCAAUCUUUCCGGAUUAUACGUUUUGUUCAAUGCCAUAAAUUGAUCAUAGAUAUUCAUAUUAAUAGAUCUAAUGAGAAUUAACGUAAAUAUUAAACUUUUGCAGUGGGUCCUUAAUGCUUUUGAUGAUGAGCAGUCCUUGAAAUUGUUGAAAAAUUGUUACAAAGCUCUUCCGGAUGGUGGGAAGUUGCUUAAUGUUAAUGGAACAAUUCCAGAAGUGCCUGAGAAUAGCGCGACUUCAAGGGAGAUCUCCCACUUGGAUAUAAUUUGUUUAAUCCAAGUUCCUCAUGGAAGAGAGCGGACCAAACAAGAAUACAGUGACUUAGCAAUCAAAGCUGGAUUUAAAGGCGUCAACUACGAAUAUGGUGCAUGCAAUUUAUAUGUUAUGGAAUUCCUCAAAUAAUAAAUUGCUUUACUUGUAUUAGGAAAGGUCUUCUCAACUCUCUUUGGGGAGUUACCAAUUUCUGGUUUGUGUUAAUUUUUCUUCUCGCCUUAGCUUUUCUCUUAUGUACUCUUUUUCAUCCUUUAAGCAUCUGUCUUUUUAAGGGAGAUUGACUGCCUUAUAAGGUAGCUCCUAUGUAAUAUUUUCCAUUUUAAUUUUUACUGUUGUAGCAUGUGAUACUUAGUUUUUUAUCGAGGAAAAAAAUAGUGUAUUCAUCUGACUUUGUUUUUUUUUUUUUUUUUCCUUUUUCUACUUAUUGCAAAGUUAUGUUGUGCAAAAACCAGCAAUAUAUAAUUAAUAAUUUAAAGUAAUAAAGUUUGAUUUUUGAACGUAGUAAAAUACACCGUAACUGAAUCGAACAAUGCCUGAAAAAUAUAUUGAAAAUGGAUUAUAGAGAUAUAAAUUUCUAUUAUAAUUAUAAUUUAGUUUUUUAUUUUUAAGUUAACUUAGAGAAAAUAUAUUUUAUUUUCAUUAUAAUUGUGAUUUAAUUUUUCUUUUUGAAUUAAUUUAGAGAAGUAGGUUUCCUCUAUUAUAAAUAGAGAGCUCUUGUGGUUGUUUUAAGAACUUUUUUCUAUUAUAAAUAGAGAGUUUUUGUGAUUAUUUUAAGAACUUUUUCCAAACUCAAUUAUUCUAUAAAUUUUUAUUCUAAUUUUUUUUUUCUAUCUUCUUUACAAUUCCUCGUCGGCUAAUAUAGGUCAAAGGGGUUAAAAAAAAGUGCAAGCCUUUUGAAACAAGUCACAGAUGACAGACCCAAUCAGAACUAUAAGUAAAUAUAAUAGUUUGCACUGGCAAUAGGAUUUCCGGCAUUUCGUCUAAGGCACAAUUGACACAACGCUUGAUUGACCAAAACAAAUAGUUGAUUAUUGUAAUUAUUGUGAAUAUAGUCUUUUGUUUUACAACGCGUUAAAUAUGUUUAUAUAUUUUGUAAAAGUCAAGCAAUGAGAUGUAGGGAACGAUUAUUGUUUUCACCAUAUCAAUUAUCUCAAAGAUUAUCUCAAAUAUUUUUCAUGUUCUGUCUGCCGGUACUCUGCCUUCUAGAGGUGCACAGUGAUGGGUGAAAAGAGGAAAAUGAAAAAAAGAUAAGAAAAAAUUUAUAAGGUCCUUUAAUGCGGGGUCGUUUUGGUUCGAUAUGUGUUGAAAAUUUUUUCGGGUGCAAGCUGUCGCUAUCACCGACUUCAAAAACCUUGUCUUGUAAUAUUAAUAUAGGCCCCGAGCCCCCCACCACUUUGCCUCUGUGAUUAAGAACCCCAUUCUUUGUCUUUUAGCAAACCCACCGCCGCUUUAUAAGUCAAUAAUUUUGUUUUUUUUUUUUUUUUUUUUUUGUCAACUCAAUUGAAGGCUUUGCCCACUUGUAGAAAAUCCCAUAAUGGGUUCCACUAGGUUACAGCAGUGGCACAUAUAAUUUCUUUUUGUCUUCUGUGAUAAAAUUUCAUAUAAUCUCUUCUAUUUAUUUUUAUUUAAUAUUUAUCCUAUAAGUAUUAAGUUAAUUUCUACCUACACUUACAGCUACAUUUCGGUUAGCUCUUUAUACUAUUUUAUAUUUACAGAUUUUUUAUUCAAUAUUGCACAUGUAUCACAAUACCCCCUCUUUAUUAUUUUGAAGUUAAAUAAUUAACAUGUUUAAUUUAAAACCUUACACUCCUUUUUAAUUAUAAUCUUUUUAAAUAUCGGGUAUUUUUUACAUUUGCUAUCAAAUUUCAUUUAACACUUUACACUCUUUUUAUUUCGAAUUUUUUUAUAGAUAUUAAUUUACAUUAUGGUAGUGCACUGUGUCCAUAUAUUAUUUAUGAAUGGUAAUUUAUCACUAAUACAGUGACAUUUCAUCCAGGAGUGGCUCUCCUUGUUGAUAAAUUGAAAUUAGCGCAAACCUUGAGGACAGGCAUGAAAAAAUGAGAACACGAGCAUGAUUUGUGAUGAGAUUUAAUAUAGUUGAAUCCAUGCCUCGACUGAUUCAAUAGAAAGGAGGGAAAAAAGAAGGAAAACAGAAGCAAGCAAUUAAGAAAGAAGCAAAUUAUAAUCAUGGCUUCUAUAGCUGAUCAGGAAGAAGAGGCAAAUAAUUUUUCAUAUGCAAUGGAACUGGCAAGUGCCAUAGUGCUACCUGCAGCUAUGCAAGCAGUGGUAGAGCUUGAUGUGUUUGAGAUCAUAACCAAAGCUGGUCCCGGUGCUAAGCUUUCAGUUUCGGAAAUUGUGGCUCAAAUUCCCUUAAAAGAUAAUAAUCCUGAAGCUGCAGCCAUGAUGUUAGAUCGGGUGCUGAGGCUUCUUGUCAGCUACAAUGCUCUUCAUUGCUCUUUUGUUGAUGGACAAAGGCUCUACUCUCUUGCUCCUGUUUCUAAAUACUUUGUUCGCAAUAAUCAAAACGGUGCGUCGUUGCGUCCCUACAUGGCCUUGUCUCUCGACAAGGUCC
rnacentral:lncRNA from 1 species